rnacentral:rRNA from 1 species
AGGAUGAACGCUGGCGGCGUGCUUAACACAUGCAAGUCGAACGAUGAACUGGCGCUUGCGUCGGGGAUUAGUGGCGAACGGGUGAGUAACACGUGAGUAACCUGCCCUUAACUCUGGGAUAAGCCUGGGAAACUGGGUCUAAUACCGGAUAUUGACUUUUCACCGCAUGGUGUUUUGUUGAAAGCUUUAGUGGUUUUGGAUGGACUCGCGGCCUAUCAGCUUGUUGGUGAGGUAAUGGCUUACCAAGGCGACGACGGGUAGCCGGCCUGAGAGGGUGACCGGCCACACUGGGACUGAGACACGGCCCAGACUCCUACGGGAGGCAGCAGUGGGGAAUAUUGCACAAUGGGCGAAAGCCUGAUGCAGCGACGCCGCGUGAGGGAUGACGGCCUUCGGGUUGUAAACCUCUGUCACCGGGGAAGAACGCUUCAGGUUAAUAUCCUGAAGCCUGACUUAACCCGGAGAGGAAGCAGUGGCUAACUCUGUGCCAGCAGCCGCGGUAA